CGGCCAGUUACUAACGGGUGAGAU
rnacentral:misc_RNA from 1 species